GAGCGCGUAGCUCAGUUGGUAGAGCACCGGACUUUUAAUCUGGUGGUCGUGGGUUCGAGUCCCACCGCGCUCACCA
rnacentral:tRNA from 1 species